GCCUGGGUGGCUCAUUCGGUGAAGCAUCUGACUUCAGCUCAGGUCACGAUCUCACGGUUCACGGGUUUGAGCCCCGCGUCAGGCU
rnacentral:tRNA from 1 species